AGCACCUCAGCGUGACACCACGCACGUCCGUGCUUCGCACCUCCGUGCUUCGCAUUCGACCCGUGCGGCCCUCGUGUCCCAUCGCUCCUGAAUAGGGAACCAACAAGUCCACACCGUGCUUCUCGACCGUCUCAUCGACCCUCGCUUUGCCACGGCGCUCCGCGCCCUUGACUCCCAUAGGUUCGCCUCAUAAGGCCCCAUACAAACGAACCGGCCUCGCUCCGCAUCGCUAGCCACUGGCCCCUCCUUGGCUCGACCACGCCUGGCCGCUUACCCCAUUGGUCCAGUCUCUCAAGGUUCACUAUACGGAUACCGAUACCGCUUGCCUCCUUGGGUUCCGCCCCUCGAGUCUCGUAGGCCACCCGCCUUACGAAUUCUCCCUCGGCAUGCCUCCCUUUAGCGUCCCUAUCGAGUCUCGCCUCCUUGGCCUUCGUGGGCGCCGCGCCCCACGAAUCCCCGCUCGGCACCCUUGCCUUCGCGAGCCUUGUCCUUUACGGAGGACCAUCCGUCGCUAGACUAUCCCUCAUCCGCUCGUACGCUCCACUACAGAGAUCCAAGCCGGCAUAAGGUAGCGCAAGCGAUCCUAGGGAGGAAGCCUCCCGGUAUUCCCCGCUUCCGUAAUGUCGUCGACCUCUCGCGUCUCCGACAUUACCCUAGGCCCGUGUCCCUUCAACCGUCCAUUAACCGGCUACACGGAACGCUAGGCUUGGCUACUCCGCUAGCCAAGGGACGACCCAUAUCCUAUGGGUCGACGGGGGAGUCGGGGCCACUUACGAAGUGUCCACCCCUCCUCUAAUACCCUUACGAGGCAUCCACUCCUUUGGCACCCCGGGGGUACAAAGGUGCUCACCGAGGGGUACGUUUUCAAGCCCCGCAUGCGGCACCUAUUUCCAAGUCAUGGCAUGGGCCAUUGCUAGGGAAUUGCCUCCGUUGACUUGACAGCGACUCCUACCUGACGGAACGCCUCAACUCCGCAACUCCAUAACUUCGUCAACCCAAAUGCCUACCAAGUAUGGCCCACAAAGGUGUCACGGUCGAGACCCAACGAUCGACCCGUGACAGUACGGCACGAGCGGCAUUUUGAACCUUGAUAAUAAUAUUAUAAUACUAAUCCAAGUGUCGAAACGCAAAAAAUCGCGCCUGCGGUGUUUCGAUCGGCUCGUCAAAUGGCACCAAAUCCCUUUCCUCUUCUUCUUCUUCUCUUUUUCCCCUUUCUCUUCUUUCCUUUUCUCUCUAUACGUACAGGUUGAAGGUGGAGGGAAGCUUCAAGAGGCUUCCCUGGCAACUUAGUGGAAUUCCACUACGGUAACAAUAUGCCAAUAAGUCCAUAAGCCAUCAAUAUUCUCAAUUUGCUCUAAUUUCAAUUUGAUACUUUUAAUUGCAGCCCUUCUGAAUGUCCGUUUGCGGUACAACUCUUGUGGGUACUCAUGCCAUACUCGUGCCCUCUCCGCAAACAACUUUUGUCACCCCAAUGCCUCCACAAUCGCACAACGUCGAGCUCUCCCCAUGGUCUCCCCAAGCUUUCAAGCCUUUCGUCGGGACUAGCCGGCCUCGACUACUUCCUGCUCUACUGACUUCCCCACGGACUCUUGUCAUGCCUCCUGACUGCUUUGCAUUUCGACUACUUGUUGAUGCACGGCACCUUUAGCCUUUAUCCCACAAGCCUGCUCAAGCCCUACUUCGUUAGGCUCUCGCAGAACUCCACUUCGAUUCGCAAUCAAAGUGUUCGGCCAAGUUCGAGCCAAUCGGACACCUUGUCUCUUUUCGCUCGCAACUUGCCAUAUCCCAACUCUAGGGACACCACCCUCAUGAUUGAACGCUGAACGGAACUCAGUUCACUCUCUGCUUAGUCUGAACCGCAAGUCUGGUUGCCACGGCAAUGCCGCUACCCUGCGCGCACCGCCCUUACAGAACUUCGAUACCUCGACCCUUCCCGCAGCUGCGAACUGUCCAAACUCCAGCCAGCACCAUGAUCCUGGGUGAAUCCACACACCACUCAACCCGACUAAGGAUGUCUCAUCCGUCCAACUCGUGGGCACAUUGUAAAGAGCAACCGAUCUCCACACCGGCCUUCUCGCACCAAGAGAAGUACUAAGCUCUCUCGCAAUCCUAGGUCCCCUUCACAACCUAGUCCAACGCCUAGCUGUUACUACCAUGGAUUCGUCGGCCUAGACUUCCAACUUGAGCUCCACGAAGCAAACUCUUUUACCACAUGUGUUGUAUCCCACUUCCUGUCAUAGACGAGCUCCUUCACCGAGUCUUUGCGCAUGGGAGCACUUAAUGAACAAACGUGCUCCCCCACUCUGAGUCGCUCCACCACCAAGCGCACUCAGAUCUCCCCGGCAUUCUCAAUGCCCCACAUUCCGCUCUGCUAGCUCCGGCUCUGCCACAACCUUCACUAUUCCCUCAAGCGGAACCCAUGUCAUCCAUCCAAUGGAUACAUGUAUGCUACCUCGAGUCACCAACGCUGUCACCGUUCUGCUCGAAGCUAGCCUUACCACCUCACUCCGCGAGUUAAGGUUUCAACCUCAAUCCAUUCUCUCGCACAAGGAUGCCUUCUCAUUCCAUAUCAUGGGCACACUCCAAAGAGUCAUCGAUCUCCCCAUCGAUCUUCCUUUUACCAAGAGAGAAGUACUGGUUCAUCGAGUAGCCCUUUGGUAAUCCCGCAACUUUGGUCGAAGCUGCUCCCAACGAAGACUACUGCCCGUCAGACUUCAAACUCAGCUUUCACGAAGUAAACUCUUUCGCCCAGUGUUUCACCGCCCAAUCCAUAUCCUUUCGAGAAGCACCAUCGUCGAGGAUUCACAUUUGGGAAUACAUCUCCACCUUAUGUACUCCCCCACCCUGAGUCGUAAGCACCUCUGUACAACUCAGUAUCCUUGGGCAUUCGCAAUACCCAACUCCGCGGCAACCCAACCACGGACCGCAAACUGAUUCUUCCUAAUCAUUGCCCCAUCGUCUGCCACACGACUAAGGCCUUAACCAUUUCUCCAUCCUGAGAAUGACUUGGAAAUCCUCACAGGGUACCGACAUGAACUUGGCUUUCGUCCCACCACGAGUCCACACCAACAAGCACCUCCCUCGCAAGACCCGCAAUCGGCUGGGCCUCCGAGCUCCUCGCUGUUAUCUGACUCUCAUCCAUGCGUGGUGCAAGUCCGAACCGCCCGGCUUCACUCACCGCAAAGAAUUCGUGGGUAGUACCAAUAUCCAUCGCAACUUAACUCCGCAUCUCUCACAAGCGAAGUAUUGUCCCAAUGCAUUGUCGGCUCCAAGUCCUUUCGUCAGAGUGACUCUGCUCACUCCAACUUCGCCGCCAAGGUCGCACCUUUCGGCCAAACUUCCAUCCCAAAUGAGCUCAACCUGGCUCUGAUACCACUUGUCACGGGGUUAGCUUUUCCGCCUCAAAAAUCCCCGCGCGGCGCUCAAGUGUCGCACACCCGAGCCAGCCUUCUCGAGUCCCUUACACGGACAAGUCUCCCCGACUUAACAGCGGAAUACCAAUCCAAGCAUUUUGCCAAGCUUGCUCCUCCUCGAGACUUAUAGCCCGACCCUCGCCUGUAAUCGAACCCCUCGUCGGACUCCUCGAGUUCCCAACGAGCAACCCCAAUAUCGAGGUUGGCCACCAAGCUAGGUGCAUCCUGUUUUGUCAACCAAACCCUCCUCGAGAGUGCUCUGUAGCCGAAUGCCUUGUUGCCUUCCUCGCCAGCCCAAGGACAUUACAAGUUCUCCCCCAACUUGUACAAUAUGAGUAUAGCCGAGCGUCUCGCCUCCCACGCGUCUCGCUCCCGCGACUCAACCCGCACGCCUCUAGCGUCGAGGUCCGGGCUUCGCGACAUCGCAUGCCACGAAGGGCACUCAUAACCAUAAGUUCCACCAUCGUGUCUCCCGCGCCUGACAACGCCCAUGGCCAUACCGCCUACGCGGCCUGCUCGCUCGGUCCAACGGCUUACCUCCGAAAAGCCACCCAAGUGUGCGCCACAAGCUUGCUUGCCCCAACAUCAGCACCUCAGCGUGACACCACGCACGUCCGUGCUUCGCACCUCCGUGCUUCGCAUUCGACCCGUGCGGCCCUCGUGUCCCAUCGCUCCUGAAUAGGGAACCAACAAGUCCACACCGUGCUUCUCGACCGUCUCAUCGACCCUCGCUUUGCCACGGCGCUCCGCGCCCUUGACUCCCAUAGGUUCGCCUCAUAAGGCCCCAUACAAACGAACCGGCCUCGCUCCGCAUCGCUAGCCACUGGCCCCUCCUUGGCUCGACCACGCCUGGCCGCUUACCCCAUUGGUCCAGUCUCUCAAGGUUCACUAUACGGAUACCGAUACCGCUUGCCUCCUUGGGUUCCGCCCCUCGAGUCUCGUAGGCCACCCGCCUUACGAAUUCUCCCUCGGCGUGCCUCCCUUUAGCGUCCCUAUCGAGUCUCGCCUCCUUGGCCUUCGUGGGCGCCGCGCCCCACGAAUCCCCGCUCGGCACACUUGCCUUCGCGAGCCUUGUCCUUUACGGAGGACCGUCCGUCGCUAGACUAUCCCUCAUCCGCUCGUACGCUCCACUACAGAGAUCCAAGCCGGCAUAAGGUAGCGCAAGCGAUCCUAGGGAGGAAGCCUCCCGGUAUUCCCCGCUUCCGUAAUGUCGUCGACCUCUCGCGUCUCCGACAUUACCCUAGGCCCGUGUCCCUUCAACCGUCCAUUAACCGGCUACACGGAACGCUAGGCUUGGCUACUCCGCUAGCCAAGGGACGACCCAUAUCCUAUGGGUCGACGGGGGAGUCGGGGCCACUUACGAAGUGUCCACCCCUCCUCUAAUACCCUUACGAGGCAUCCACUCCUUUGGCACCCCGGGGGUACAAAGGUGCUCACCGAGGGGUACGUUUUCAAGCCCCGCAUGCGGCACCUAUUUCCAAGUCAUGGCAUGGGCCAUUGCUAGGGAAUUGCCUCCGUUGACUUGACAGCGACUCCUACCUGACGGAACGCUUCAACUCCGCAACUCCAUAACUUCGUCAACCCAAAUGCCUACCAAGUAUGGCCCACAAAGGUGUCACGGUCGAGACCCAACGAUCGACCCGUGACAGUACGGCACGAGCGGCAUUUUGAACCUUGAUAAUAAUAUUAUAAUACUAAUCCAAGUGUCGAAACGCAAAAAAUCGCGCCUGCGGUGUUUCGAUCGGCUCGUCAAAUGGCACCAAAUCCCUUUCCUCUUCUUCUU
rnacentral:lncRNA from 1 species